GACGAACGCUGGCGGCGUGCUUAACACAUGCAAGUCGAACGGAAAGGCCCUGCUUUUGUGGGGUGCUCGAGUGGCGAACGGGUGAGUAACACGUGAGUAACCUGCCCUUGACUUUGGGAUAACUUCAGGAAACUGGGGCUAAUACCGGAUAGGAGCUCCUGCUGCAUGGGGGGGGUUGGAAAGUUUCGGCGGUUGGGGAUGGACUCGCGGCUUAUCAGCUUGUUGGUGAGGUAGUGGCUUACCAAGGCUUUGACGGGUAGCCCGCCUGAGAGGGUGACCGGCCACAUUGGGACUGCGAGACGGCGCAGUCUCCUACGGGAGGCAGCAGUGGGGAAUAUUGCGCAAUGGGCGGACGCCUGAUGCAGCGACGCCGCGUGCGUGAUGACGGCCUUCGAGGUGUAAACCGCUUUCGCCUGUGACGAAGCGUGAGUGACGGUAAUGAGUAAAGAAGCACCGGCUAACUACGUG
rnacentral:rRNA from 1 species